rnacentral:rRNA from 1 species
UACGAGGGGGGCGAGCGUUGUUCGGAAUUAUUGGGCGUAAAGGGUGCGUAGGCGGUUUGGUAAGUCUUAUGUGAAAUCUACAGGCUCAACUUGUAGUCUGCAUGAGAAACUGCCGGGCUUGAGUGUGGGAGAGGUGAGUGGAAUUCCUGGUGUAGCGGUGAAAUGCGUAGAUAUCAGGAAGAACACCCGUGGCUAAGGCGGCUCUCUAGUACGGUACUGACGCUGAGACGCGAAAGCGUGGGGAGCGAACAGG